AAUUUUCAAAACUGCCACAGAGGCUUUACUAAAAUUUCUCUACUAGAAUGCUCCAUCCAAAGAAGCAGCACAAAAAUCUUGGAGAGGCCUGAAAAAGUGUAGUUCAAUCUGCCGGAAUUGGACCGGCGACCUAGGGAUUCCUGAGCACCUUUGAACUAAGAGCUUUAUUGAAAUUUUUUGCAAGCAUUUUGUAGUUGAACCUUUUGUCCAGAAUCAAGUCCGACUCACUCCACGUCGUAACUCAUCAAUCUCAUUUUCGUCAACCUGCAAAGUUGCCUCCAAAACUUCGUUCAUGAUGUCUGGAGUGGUCUGGAACAACGCUCUAGCCAUGUCUGUUCUUCCCGGGUUUUGACUUCCAAGCGCAGCCACCGCAACCGAGUCCGACUUAUCCAGGUUUCGCUGGAAGUGAACUAGUCCCCUGGGAAAGAUGAACAGAUCACCGGGAUGCAAAACCUUUGCGAACAACUGGUUGGAAGUUGACACAAAUCCAACAUAGAGGCGUCCUUGGAGGAGCCAGAUGACCUCGGACGCUCGGGGAUGGUUGUGCGGAGGAUUCACGCCAAAUGGACCGAAUGCAAGGCGAGCAAUGGAGAGUCCCUGCGUGUUGAGGCCUGGAAACAUUGUGAUAUCGAUCAAGUCGACUUGGAUUCGCAGUGUGUUGUUUGUGACUGGAGCCUGACGAAGGAUUGUGGAGGUGAAGUCAUCGGCAGUGACUGUGGUGGGAUCUUUGCAAGGAACUCCGUUGAUGAACACUUUGGAGUUUGGAUCUUCGACGCAGAAAUCCUGGAGAGGAUCCUCAUCGCCCAAAACUCCAAUAAUAGUUAAGCACAGAAAGAAUGACACCGUGACAAUUUUGAUGAGAGCCAUUGGCAUAGAACACUUGAAAUUGUGAAAACUCAAGACGAAACUACUUGGUAUGAAUCUGUGGCCUCUGCUCGCUGGUAUUUAUUGGCAGAAAUGGCAUCGAGAGCUAUAAUUUUUAAUUGUUUCUCAUGGUCACGUAUACAUUCAUAGACCCAUGCAGAGACAACGAUAUGUCAUGUCACCCGUUGGCGUGAAGUAGUGGAUCUUGAGUGAAAGAUCUCAAAGGAAGAGGAGCCGUGAAAGGCAGCAUGGAAAAUUCGGAGAUUUAUAAAUCAGACUUUUUAAAACAUUUCUAGAACUGAAAUCUCAACAAUAAAGGAAGGCUCUAUCAACAGCAAAUCUCCACGCUAAACAGUGCACACUUUGAAAAAGUUGACAGAGAUCCAGCCACGGAAAAACUCCGCUUGGAAGAAUUAACUUAGCACAGCAAUGACUCAAUUCACUUCCAUUCACCAAGGGCUGUGGAUUAAAAGGUUUAAGCCUUGAAUUAUUUUUGUACUUAGAAGUGUGUUGUGUUAAUUGUUAAUGCCUCAGAUCUUCUCAAAAUGUGUGCAUGCAAGUGUUACAAAGAUUGUUUUGUCCAAGCUACUGGAUCAAUUAGCUUUCAUCCUUAUAAAGUGGGGCCAGACUUGGGCCACCUCUUGGAUUUCAUGGCUCUCGUCACUGGCUGAUCUUCUAAGCAUAAAAAGUCCUCCACAUUCCCUGCUUGGCCCACAGCACGAUUGUGAGGAGUUUUAGUCAGAAUUCCUAUCAAAUUAUAUUAUUAUAUUUGUCACCAACACAUUCCUCAUUCUUUUAUUUAAGUAUCUUCGCACUAGAAACACAAAGAGACGCUCUUAUUGCCAAUGAACAUAAGAGAAAAGCUUACUAUCCUAGAUCUGGCUUGCUGUUUGCUCUUUGAAUUUUAUAAGCUUUUAUGGGUCAGAGACAAGGCUCUUCUCCUUGAGGUCUAUGCUUCUAGCUGAUUUAUCAUUGUAAAACUAAUAUUUAAUCUGCCGGAAUCGAACCGGGUUGCAUGUUAUCACACAUUUAGUAACUUAUUAAUCUCAUUAACUUCAUUCGUGAUGUUUGGAGUGGUUUGCUAUGUUAAGGCCCUUGAGAAAGAUAGUCACCAGGAUACAAAACCUUCUCAAACAACUUUUUGGAAGUUAACAAUGAUUUGUAUAUGUGACCAUGUAAAAAAAAAAUUGGCUCCUCGACGCUAUUGACAACUGUGAAUACUGUCGAGCAGAGGCCACAGAUCCAUACCAAGUAUUUCAUCUUGAGUUUUCGCAAUUUCAUAUACCAACGGCGCACUCUUUUUUGUGCAUCUUCUCCAGAAUUUCUUCAUUGAGGAUCCAAACUCAACGUUUUCAUCAAUGGUGUGCCUUGCAAAGAUCCCGACACAGACUUCACCUCUACCAUCCUUCAACACACUGAGAAUCGAAGUCGACUUGAUCGAUAUUAGAAUGUUUCCAGGCCUCAACACACUCCAUUGCUUGCCAUGCAUUCGAGUUUUUUCAACAUUUCUAGAACUGAAAUUUCAAAGAUAUAGGAAGGAAUAUUGGCCUCUAUCAACCACAAAUCUCCACUGUAAACAGUGAACACUUUGACAAAGUUGAUAAAAAUCCAGGCAAGGAAGAACUCCAGCUUGGAAGAAUAAACUCCAACACAACAAUGACCCAAAACAAUAUAAACAAAGCUGAACUCGCUGUGCAAAACAAAGACCUGAAUUCAAGGGCUUCAAGGAAGCAACGCUAUAGACGUGCUAGACACAUCCUGAUGAAUAUCAUUUUGCAUGUAGUAUAGCAAUCGCCAAGAGUAUAGCGGUCGCGGCGAAUCGAAGGGUUUUAUGCUUAAAUGGACAUGGUCCCUCCCUUAUUAGACUUGAGCCGGAGCUGGAGUUACACCUUAGCCUCUUUGUCAUCUUGGUCCUCUUGAAAUUUUCAAGGCUUUCUGCAGAGGCCGCCCUCCCAGGCAGCACUGAAUCUCUUAGAGUCAAAAACAAAUUUCACUGUAGUGUUGACAUUUUUUUCAAUGGAUAACUUUAAGUCUUGGUUUGAUUCCUGCAGAUCGGACUUCUAUUACAGGAUGUAAAUUCCAUUGUCCAAUUUCUAACACUUUCUCUGCCAACUGAGCUAAGAUCAGUUUUGAUUAUUUAUUGAAACUUUUACAAUUUAUUAGUUGGACUUUUUGUCAGUAAAGUCUGGCCAAUCCACACGAGAACUUCGUUCGUGAUGUUUGGAGUUUGUUUGGAACAACGCUCUAGCCACGUCUGUGCUUCCCGGUUUUUGGAUUUCAAUCGCAGCCAAACCGUGUCGACUUAUCCAGGUUUCGCUGGAAGUGAACGAUAUCUCUGGGAAAGAUUCAAAACCUUUGCAAACAGCUGGUUGGAAGUUGACACAAAUCCGACGCAGAGGCGGAGCCAGAUGACCUCUAACGCUCGGGGAUGGCUGUGUGGAGGAUUCACGCUGAAUGGACUGAAUGCGAGGGAAACAUUCUAAUAUCAAUCAAGUUGACUUGGCUUCUCAGUGUGUUGUUUGUGACUGGAGCCUGGGGAAGGAUGGUGGAGGUGAAGUCGUAAGCAGUAUCUCUUGUGGGGGCUUCGUUGAUGAAGACUUUGGAGUUUGGAUCCUUGACAA
rnacentral:lncRNA from 1 species